rnacentral:misc_RNA from 1 species
GAUGAAGAACGUAGCGAAAUGCGAUACUUGGUGUGAAUUGCAGAAUCCCGUGAACCAUCGAGUCUUUGAACGCAAGUUGCGCCCGAAGCCACUAGGCCGAGGGCACGCCUGCCUGGGCGUCACACGCCGUUCCCCCCCCAUCUACUCCUUCGGGAUUGCGGGGGGGCGGAUGAUGGCCUCCCGUGCGCCUAGCCGCGCGGUUGGCAUAAAUACCAAGUCCUCGGCGACGCACGCCACGACAAUCGGUGGUUGCGAAACCUCGGUUGCCCGUCGUGUGCGUUCGUCGCGCAUCGAGGGCUCGAAAAAAUGCUCGGCUCCGGCUGGGCUUUCAACGCGACCCCAGGUCAGGCGGGGUUACCCGCUGAAUUUAAGCAUAUCAAUAAGCGGAGGA